rnacentral:rRNA from 1 species
GUCCACGCUGUAAAACGAUGGAUACUCGCUGUAGCUGGUAAUCAAUCCGGCUGUGGCUUAGCUAACGCAUUAAGUAUCCCGCCUGGGAAGUACGGUCGCAAGAUUAAAACUCAAAGGAAUUGACGGGGACCCGCACAAGCGGUGGAUUAUGUGGUUUAAUUCGAAGCAACGCGCAAAACCUUACCUAGCCUUGACUUGCCAGUGACCGGUGCAGAAAUGUACCUUUCCUUCGGGACACUGGACACAGGUGCUGCAUGGCUGUCGU